GUAAAACGGAGGCAGGCAGAGCACGUCAUGGCAACUAUUCAAGUCUGUGACGACUUUAGCAGAGCUGUUAACAAGUUUGCCAGCUGAGUAAACGACAAGGUACGACGUACAGCACCAUCUAGAGACAAUCAACACUCAUAAGAGUACAAAUAUUUAACUAGCGAAUUACCAAGGCUAUCAGGGGUGAGUAUGUUUCAAGCUAAGAUCAGGUGGGUGCUGACGAACAUGAAGGCAAAGUGUGAACAAGUCUGCGUUUUACUUAAGGAGGUUUAAUUUUAGUUAAUAAAUUAAAAUGUUGCAUGUUUAGACAUUGUUUAAACUUAUUUCCAACACUUUACAUGGUCAACAAACGCAAACAGCUUUGGACGACCCUACUUCCAGAAAAAUCUCUCGAGUAGGGGAGAGUGGGGUAAGUUAAGCUAAAUGGUAAAUUGAGCCAAAAGAAAUUGAUUAUGUGACCAAAUAUUUAGGAGAUGGGCAUCAAUUCAUGGAGUCUGUGAAGGUUAGAAGCACAUGGGUAAAGGGGUUAGAUAUUUAUUUCCAAAAAAACAGAUCAUUUAAGAUUUGUUUUAUACAACAUUUGAGGUUCUAUGAGCUCCAAUCUCCAACCUCCAACGUUAAAAACCUAGCAUAAAAGUCCACCAUUUUAGCUUAGAGGACUAAUAAAGUCAUAAUAGUAGUUCUGGGGUAAAUUGAGGGUAAAGGAGUCUGUUGAGAGGAUCAGAGUUUCAGUUCAAAUUGUUGAAAUGUGUUACUUUUUCUUUUCAAAAAUACAGCUGUGAAUGUUCUGAAUCACUUUAAGGCAUUCUCAUGUUAAGAUGGCUUUUUGCAGAAAAGGGAGUAGUAGGGAUACGGCUCAACUUACCCCGCUCUUAUGGUCUACUUACCACAUACACGGGGUAAGUUGACCAUAGGCGCGGGGUAAGUUGGCAUGCUAUAUUAUCAAGACAGUUAUGUUUACACUCAUUCUGUUGGUUUGCAGGGAUGCACAACAUCUUGAAACAUAUGCAGAUACACUAGUUAGAGACAAAACUAUGAUUGCCUUAAUGUAGUGAUCUGAAAUAUGAAAAAUGGCUCAUUUUACCCCACUCUCCCCUAACUUUUUGUUGGUUUGCAAACUAUAAAAAAACUAUAUUUAAUUGAAAAUGGGGCACAGAACGCCUAAAAAAAGUUGUGGAAAAGAACACAUGAAAGAAAAGAUUGUAAAUAGAGGCCAUCAGCAGCAAGAGGAUAAUUUUAAUUGUAAGUUUUCAUGCUCCAGAUAGCUUUGGGUUAGGUGUCAGAUCAAAUCAUUGACAGCUUCUUGUAUUAUUAACACAGCAAUUUAGUAACAUAAUAAUUUAAAGGAGAAAAGUAUGAGUUUUUUAUUAGAAAAUACUACCCUCAUACAUACAGGACAACAGAUAAUAGGUAUUACUUCGUACAUAGUAAACUUCAACACCAAACCAAAAGUUCCUAACGGGAUAAGGAUAUCUCUUGCAUGAUUCCUCUUUUUGACCUAAUCUAGGUGGUAGAGGAAUUGUUUAACUAUGAGAUACUCGGAUAACCUUUUUUUGUGUCUGAUUUUCAAAAGGAAAUAUAAAAACGUGGAAGGUAACAUCAGCAAAGAGACGAGAGGUACUGCUGGUCCACAGGGAGGCGCCAAAUCACAACAAGCUGAAACUUUCUCACAGGAGCUUCCAGGGGAAGAUACUUUUUAAAAAGAC